rnacentral:rRNA from 1 species
GACGAACGCUGGCGGCGUGCCUAAUACAUGCAAGUAGAACGCUGAAGGAGGAGCUUGCUUCUCUGGAUGAGUUGCGAACGGGUGAGUAACGCGUAGGUAACCUGCCUGGUAGCGGGGGAUAACUAUUGGAAACGAUAGCUAAUACCACAUAAUAGUAGAUGUUGCAUGACAUUUACUUAAAAGGUGCAAUUGCAUCACUACCAGAUGGACCUGCGUUGUAUUAGCUAGUUGGUGGGGUAACGGCUCACCAAGGCGACGAUACAUAGCCGACCUGAGAGGGUGAUCGGCCACACUGGGACUGAGACACGGCCCAGACUCCUACGGGAGGCAGCAGUAGGGAAUCUUCGGCAAUGGACGGAAGUCUGACCGAGCAACGCCGCGUGAGUGAAGAAGGUUUUCGGAUCGUAAAGCUCUGUUGUAAGAGAAGAACGAGUGUGAGAGUGGAAAGUUCACACUGUGACGGUAUCUUACCAGAAAGGGACGGCUAACUACGUGCCAGCAGCCGCGGUAAUACGUAGGUCCCGAGCGUUGUCCGGAUUUAUUGGGCGUAAAGCGAGCGCAGGCGGUUAGAUAAGUCUGAAGUUAAAGGCUGUGGCUUAACCAUAGUACGCUUUGGAAACUGUUUAACUUGAGUGCAAGAGGGGAGAGUGGAAUUCCAUGUGUAGCGGUGAAAUGCGUAGAUAUAUGGAGGAACACCGGUGGCGAAAGCGGCUCUCUGGCUUGUAACUGACGCUGAGGCUCGAAAGCGUGGGGAGCAAACAGG